CGCGGUGUAGCCCCGUUUCGGACACUCUCUGCAGCCGGCCGCAGCCCCAAAGAGAAGCGGUGGCGCUCGCCAUAUAGAAGGAGAGAUCCACCGUCCGUGC
ensembl:misc_RNA